GAGUUUGAUCUUGGCUCAGGAUGAACGCUGGCGGCGUGCUUAACACAUGCAAGUCGAACGGCGAUAGCAAUAUCGCAGUGGCGCACGGGUGAGGAACACGUAGCUUAUCUGCCCAGAAGAGUGGGAUAACGCUCCGAGAGGAGUGCUAAUACCGCAUAAGCUCCCGGGUUAUAGAGACCUGAGAGAAAAGGGGAAACUCGCUUCUGGAGGAGGCUGCGGCCCAUCAGGUAGUUGGUGCGGUAACGGCGCACCAAGCCAACGACGGGUAGGGGACCUGAGAGGGUGAUCCCCCACACUGGGACUGAGACACGGCCCAGACUCCUACGGGAGGCAGCAGUGAGGAAUAUUGCCCAAUGGAGGAAACUCUGAGGCAGCGACGCCGCGUGGGUGAUGAAGGCCUUCGGUCGUAAAGCCCUUUCUGCAUGACGAGCAAGGACGGUAGUGCAGGAAAAAGUACUCGGCUAACUACGUGCCAGCCGCCGCGGUAA
rnacentral:rRNA from 1 species